AACGAACGCUAUCGGUAUGCUUAACACAUGCAAGUCGGACGGACUAAUUAGGGCUUGCUCCAAUUAGUUAGUGGCAGACGGGUGAGUAACACGUGGGAAUCUGCCCAUCAGUACGGAAUAACUUUUAGAAAUAAAAGCUAAUACCGUAUAUUCUCUACAGAGGAAAGAUUUAUCGCUGAUGGAUGAGCCCGCGUCAGAUUAGGUAGUUGGUGAGGUAACGGCUCACCAAGCCGACGAUCUGUAGCUGGUCUGAGAGGAUGAUCAGCCACACUGGGACUGAGACACGGCCCAGACUCCUACGGGAGGCAGCAGUGGGGAAUAUUGGACAAUGGGCGAAAGCCUGAUCCAGCAAUGCCGCGUGAGUGAUAAAGGCCUUAGGGUUGUAAAGCUCUUUUAGCAAGGAAGAUAAUGACGUUACUUGCAGAAAAAGCCCCGGCUAACUCCGUG
rnacentral:rRNA from 1 species